CCUAAAUUUCCGACAAAAAGCUUCAAAUUUCCGACAAACCCCUCCCAUUUGCAAUCAAAAUUUCCGAAAAUUCGGCAAUUUUCGGUAAAGGUGGGGGGCGAUCGCCCCACCGAGAUUUCCGCACACAGCAAAUACAGUAUUUGUUUGGAGGCAAUCUAUAUGAAUGAUCAUUAUCCAUUAAGAUAAAUAUUAAAAAUUUGACUAAGAUAAUGUGCUUGUCC